UACGAAGGGGGCGAGCGUUGUUCGGAUUUACUGGGCGUAAAGGGCGCGCAGGCGGCGAUGUUUGUCAGGCGUGAAAGCCCCGGGCUCAACCUGGGAAUCGCGCAUGAAACGGCAUUGCUAGAGAUCGGGAGAGGAGAGUGGAAUUCCCAGUGUAGAGGUGAAAUUCGUAGAUAUUGGGAAGAACACCGGUGGCGAAGGCGGCUCUCUGGACCGAUACUGACGCUGAGGCGCGAAAGCGUGGGGAGCAAACAGG
rnacentral:rRNA from 1 species